rnacentral:rRNA from 1 species
UACGUAGGGGGCAAGCGUUGUCCGGAAUCAUUGGGCGUAAAGCGCGCGUAGGCGGCCCGGUAAGUCCGCUGUGAAAGUCAAAGGCUCAACCUUUGAAUGUCAGCGGAUACUGCCAGGCUAGAGUCCGGAAGAGGCGAGUGGAACUCCUGGUGUAGCGGUGGAAUGCGCAGAUAUCAGGAAGAACACCAACGGCGAAGGCAGCUCGCUGGGACGGAACUGACGCUGAGGCGCGAAAGCGUGGGGAGCGAACAGG